GAAAACAGCAUAACUCUAUUUUAUAAAUAAGCAAGGUUGACAUGGUCCAACUCUUCGGAGAAAUGGAGUGAUUUCUAGGACUGGGCCAGAAAAUAUACAAGAUGAGCCUGGAACAUCUCACAGCAUCAGAAAAACUCUAGGAUGGAACAAAAGUAUACAAUAAGCUUGCAACUGGAGGAACAAAAGACAUGUCGAAAAAAUGCCUCACCUUUCGCUUCAAUGUGGGCUUUGUAAGAAUUGGUGGUGAGUUGGACCGAGGACUUUCCGGCUCUUCCUCCUCCUCACUACUCUCACUGAAGCUCCUGAGGAGAGCCCUGUCACCAUCGCUGUAGCGACGGGGCAGUCUAUCAUUGC